AAACCAGGUUUGAAUCAUAGUCUCUGUUUGCCAGUACUGUGAGAAAACGUGGAUGUCGGUGAGAUCUGGAUGCUAAGACAAACUCUGGAGCUACUUUGUUGUCGUUAAUGAAGAGGUCCAGAUGCUAAAACAAACUCUGGAGCUGCUUUUUUGUCGAACAGGAGUGAGUGAGGACACCGAAGAUACCUGCGGCACGAAGGUUUACUGGCCCAGCUGCUGCAGUCUGGACACAAACACCAGCUCACCUGACAAACCAAACAGGUGGCAACACUUCGUCCACGAUCGCAGAGAGCCUUCACACAGUGAGGAAGUUCUUUGAAACCAGGACUGAGGCCUCCAGGAUUCAAACUUCAGCCAUUACAUCACAGAGCGAAGAGACAGACAUGAAGACAUUUCUAAGAGGUCUUCAGCUGCUGUCGUCUUCUCCUCCUGCAGAGACAAGAACACUCGUUAAUCACAGAAACUGACUGGUAAAUCUAAAGAUUUUAGGACAUUCUAUUCUGACAUUUUUUUGAUGUUUAUAUGCUUUACUGUUCUAUGACAUGCAGGAAAGGAACUAUCUUAAAGUAGACAUCUUAACUUUGUUUUCCCACAGAAACUCUCUACAGUGCUUGUAUAAAUCUGGUCCAUUACUGUGUACGUAGUCUUGUUUAAACUGUUCAUACUAUCUUUGAUUUUUAUAUAUUAUCUUAUAUAUAUAUAUAUAUACACACACAAGAUAUGGUUAGGAUAUAAAAUGCCCUCUUCUAUUUUUGCUGUUGCAACACUGAUUUUCCCUCCUGUGGUACUGAUAAAACAUUUAUCUUACUCCAAUAAAUACUU